rnacentral:pre_miRNA from 1 species
UCAUUAAGGUUUGAUUCAAAGCCCAUUGAGGUCAAUGAAAAUAUUUCCACUGAUGUCAGUGGGCUUUGGAUCAUGCCCUUGAAGU